GGUGUGCCGUGAGAUUUUUCAAUAGUAAAAUAUGUGCCUUGGCUCCAGAAAGGUUGGAAAUAAAUGGUCUCGUUCGUGAUGUUAUCGACUUUGUAUGGACCUAACAAACACAGUGUAAAAAAAAAAAAAAUAAUAAUAAUAAUAAAUAGUGAACAUGCUCUAGAAAAAAUAAAGCCUUGGGAAAAUUACAUUGAUUUGUUUUGCACUACUGUAUUUUGAAAGUGUGUGUCAAUAUCAAAACACGUCACAGAAGCCUAAAUCACUUCCAAAGGUGUGUUUUUAUUUUGUGAGGAUAUUUGUUAAAAUCCUUGUAAUCAUCAUUCAUAAUUUGAACCAAAAAACGUUUUAGUGUGUGUGUGUGUGUGUGUGUGUGGAUAUAUAUGUAUGUACAUAUAUACAUGCAUACAUACAGAGGCUGAAAUAAGUAUUUAACACGUCACCAUUUUUCCCACUAAAUAUUUCAAAAUUUCCAAAGGUGACAUGAAAUUUUCACCAGAUGUUGGGAACAACCCAAGUAAUCGUACAAAGAAAGAAAGUAGAACAGAUAAGAUCAGAAGUUAAGUUGUGUGUAAUAAUGUGAAAUGACACAGGGAAAAAGUAUUGAACACCUGAAGAAAGGUAGGUGCAAAAAGGCAUGGAACGCCAACACCUAUAAUCUAUCAAUAAUUAAACACCAAUCCAGCCCCUUGGCAGUGCAAAUGAAUAUCAGCUAGUUCAGUCCUAAUUGAUGGCCUAAAAAAAGGUCUCAUUGCCAAGGUGUGAGUCAAGACACAUCUCAUGAUGGGUAAGAGGAGAGAGUUGUCUCAAGACCAUCGCAAAGUAAUUGUUGCAAAACAUAACGAUGGCAUUGGUUAAAGGAACAUAUCCAGGUUUCUGAACGUUCCAGUGAGCACGGUUGGGGCCAUAAUACGUAAGUAGAAAGCCAAUCAUACCAGCAUAAAUUUGCCUCGAUCAGGUGCUCCUCGCAAGAUUUCUGACAGAGGAGUGCAAAGAAUAAUCAAAAGACUUGUCCAAGAGCCAAGGACUCCGUGUGGAGAGCUUCAAAAAGACUUGGAAUUAGCAGGUACUGUUGUCAGAAGGAAAACAGUGAGUAAUGCACUCCGCCGCCAUGGCCUAUAUAAACAUUCCCCACGCAAAACCCUAUUGCUGGGGGGGGGGGGGGGAAGCAUGUGAAAGCUCUUUUAAAGUUUGCUGAACAUUUGGACAAGCCACUUUAAUACUGGGAGAAUAUACAGACCCUUUCCAAAAAUGUAGAAUAUCAUGGAAAAGUUUAUUUCCAUAAUUCCAUUCAAAAAGAUAAACUUUCAUAGAGUAUAGAUUCAGGGCCCACUAUUUAAAGAAUUUCAAGUGUUUGUUUAUUUUUACAUAAUUUGGGCUUGCAGCACAUAAAACCCACGAAAUCAGGAAUUUAAAAAAUUUGAAUACUGUGAAGAAAUCAGCCCAAAUUUUGCAAGCCCUAAAUGUUUUUACUUGUGUCACACACUAAUCAUCUACUAAACUCAAAGCACUUGCACGGGUUUCCCCAGGUGUUAUUAAAUUGCUUCAGUUUGCUUCAAUUGUCUCAGUUGGGUUCAAUAUGGGGAAGACUGCAGACUUGACAACUGGUCAGAAGACCAUCAUUGAUACACUCCACAAAAGUCACAAAAGUUCAUAGCUAAGGUUGGCUGGCUGUUCACAGAGUACUGUGUCAAAGCAUAUCAAUGGAAAGUCUAGUGGAAGGACAAAAUGUGGCUGGAGAAGAUUCACCAGUAAAAGAGAUGAUCAAUAAUCUAGCAGGAAUCAGGCGGAAGUCACAACUUCAAAAACCACCAAAUUCAGACGCAUCGGGGAGAUGGGCUACAACUGUCAGGUUCCUCGGCUCUAGCCACUUCUGAGCCACAGCCAAUGUAGGAAGCGUCUCAACUGGGUCAAGGAGAAGAAGGACUGGACUGUUGGCCAGUGGUUCAAGGUCCUUUUUUCAGAUGAAAGUGUGCCUUUCAUUCGGGAUUCAAGGUCCAAGGGAAGACGGGUGAUGAACAGAACCCAAGCUGCUUUUAGGUCCAGUGUGAAAUAUCCACAGUCAGUCAUGAUUUGGGGUGCAAUGUCCAGUGCAGGUGUUGGUAAACUCUACUUUCUUAAAUCCAAGGUCACCGCAACAGUCUACGAGAAUGUUUUUGAGGACUUCAUGAUUCCUUCUGCUGAGGAUCUGUAUGGAGAUGCAAAUUUCAUCCUCCAGCAGGACCUGGCCCCUGCCCAAACCGCCAGAAGCACCAAAAGCUGGUUUGAUGCCCAAGACAUCACAGGGCUUGACUGGCCAGCCAACUUACCAGAUCUAAACCCCACUGAGAAUCAAUGGGGGACACAUGACCCAAAAACAAAGAAGAACUGACAGCAAGCAUCAAGGAAAUCUGGGCUUCCAUAACUCCCAGGCAAUGGCACAGGGUGAUUGCCUCAAUGCCACGGCGCAUCGAGGCAGUUAUUAAAGCAAAGAGAUUCUCAACCAAGUAUUGAAGAUUAACAGAUCGUUUUGAAAGUACCAUAUUUUGAUUGAUUUAAUGUGAUCCUAAUUUAUUUUUCUUUUUUUCUACAAAACUGAGAAGCAAAUGGUGAUUUCUUCACAGUAUUCAAAUUUUUUGAAUUCCUGAUUUUGUAAGUUUUAUGAGGUGGAAGCCCAAAUUAUGAAAAAAUAAAUAAAUGAAAGUUUAACUCUUUGAAAGGAAUCAUCGAAAUAAUAUGAAUCAUCGAAAUAAUAUGAUAUUCAAAUUUUUUGGAAAGGGUCUAUAGUCUGGUCUGAUGAGAGCAAAAUUGAACUGUUGGAUGCCAUAAUCCACACCACGUUUGGAGGAUCACCCUAAAAGCACCAUACCAACAUUGGUACUGUUGGUAUGUUUGGAGUUGGGAACGUGAUGGUGUGGGGGUUUUUUUUCAGAAAAUGGUACUGGUAAGCUUCACAUUAUUGAAGGUAUGAUGAAUGGGCCAAUCUACCGAGACAUUCUUCACAAAAAUCCGCUGCCAUCUACGAGGAUGAUCAAAGUGAAAUGAGAUUGGACAUUUCAGCAGGCUGAUUAUUCAAAACAUACUGCAAAGGAAACUAUCAAUUGGUUUCAAAGAGCACAAAUAAAGCUGCUAGAAUGGCCCAGCCAAUCACCUGACUUGAAUCCAAUCGAAAAUCUAUGGAAAGAACUGAAACUCGAGGUCCAUAAAAGAAGCUCACGGAACCUUCAAAAUUUGAAGACUGCUUGUGUGGAGAAAUGGGCUGAAAUCACACCAGAGCAACGCAUGUAACUUGUUUCUCCAUACAGGAGGCGUCUUGAACCUGUCAUUGCAAACAAAGGCUUUUGUACAAAAUCCAUCCAUGCAUCCAUUUUCUGAGCCGCUUCUCCUCACUAGGGUCGCGGGCGUGCUGGAGCCCAUCCCAGCUGUCAUCGGGCAGGAGGCGGGGUACACCCUGAACUGGUUGCCAGCCAAUCGCAGGGCACAUACAAACAACCAUCCGCACUCACAUUCACACCUACGGGCAAUUUAGAGUCUUCAAUUAAUGUAUGUUUUUGGGAUGUGGGAGGAAACCGGAGUGCCCGGAGAAAACCCACGCAGGCACGGGGAGAACAUGCAAACUCCACACAGGCGGGGACGGGGAUUGAACCCGGGUCCUCAGUGAGGCUGAUGCUCUAACCAGUCGGCCACCGUGCCGCCUUUUGUACAAAAUAUUAAAUAAAUACCAGUUGGCGUGUUCAAGACUUUUUCCCUGUGUCAUUUCACAUUAUUACACAACUUAAUUUCUGAUUUACUUUCUUCUUUCUUUGUAUGUAUGGAUUACUUGGGUUGUUCCCAACAUCUGAUGAAAUUUUCAUGUCAAUAACAACUUUGGAAAUAUAUUUGCCGAGAAAAAUGGUGAGCCGCUGUAUAAACAACCAUUCGCACUCACAUUCACACCUAUGGGCAAUUUAUAUUUAAUUUAUAUAUAUACAGUAGGUACGGGAAGUAUUCAGACCCCCUUAAAUUUUUCACUUUUUGUUAUAUUACAGCCAUUUGGUUAAAUAAUUUAAGUUCAUUUUUUUCCACAUUUAUGUACACACAGCACCCCAUAUUGACAGAAAAAAAUGGAAUUGUUGAAAUUUUUGCAGAUUUAUUAAAAAAGAAAAACUGAAAUAUUACACAGCCAUAAGUAUUCAGACACUUUGCUGUGACAUAUUUAACUCUGGUGCUGUCUAUUUCUUCUGAUCAUCCUUGAGAUGGUUCUACACCUUCAUUGGAGUCCAGCUGUGUUUGAUUAUACUGAUUGGACUUGAUUAGGAAAGCCACACACCUAUCUACAUAAGACCUUACAGCUCACAGUGCACGUCAGAGCAAAUGAGAAUCAUGAGGUCAAAGCAACUGCUGAAGAGCUCAGAAACAGAAUUGUGGCAUCCAAAGCUAUCGCGCAAAAUGCCGGCCCAUACAUAUGGCGAGAUGCUCUCGUCUGCCAACCAGGACUUGAAUAAAUGGGAUCUGGAAUCGUCAGAGAGUGAACUCCCUUUUGGAUAGCCAGGGCGAGCUUCCUCCGAUGAAGAUCGACAAAGUCUGACGAAGAAGGUAACUCGUUUGCAGCUCGCGUUUGCUACAUUUGGCGAGCAAACACGCUCCUUCAAUCUUUUUUACAUAAAAACAUAAUUUAGUCCCACUAGUUCACAUUACAAUGUAACACCUGUUACAAGUACUAAUUUGAAUUUUCCAUUUUGUCCAUCUUGCAGGAAUUCAACACCUGCGAGUCGAGCGUCUUUUAGGAUUGCGAAGAAGUAAUGUUAUGCAUCCAGCAGAUGUUCAACUCCCAUUCCAGUACGCAGUGCAGACUAAAAAAAGGUUCUGCUUCGAGCAGAAGUAGUGACUGGUUUCAAGGAGAAUGACAACCACAGAAGAUCCCAUUCAGUGCCAACAGAAGAAUAAAAUAAGAUGUGGAUAAAAUUUUGCUAGAUUUUAUGCGCAAGGAAAUAAAAACCUGGACUAUUGAGCAAACGGUAGAGCAGGAGAAUUUGGAGGGAAAAAGUGCAAGUGUGGGAGGCCCAUUUGUUCAUGCAUUUUUGUCUAAUGUAAAUUCUGUACAUAGUUAUACUUGUAAAUAAAUUAUUUUUCAGUCAAAAGUACUUUCUCAGUGUUAUUUUGUUCUGCUUGAUGUGUCUGCUUUCACAAAAAGGCAGUUUUCUCCAUUUUUUUCUUUCAGAAACAGAUUUGGCUGAAAGUAGCCUAUAUUUGAUUUGAUUAUAUAAGAUUGGUAUAAGCUUAUUUUUUUCGGUUGAAAGAAGAGAGUCUGAUCUUUCGUUUUUUUUUUUGGUGUUUACAUCAUCAUAGUACAUAAUAUUCUGUGGGGCUUGGAAAAUCAGUGAAAUUGCUCGAAAAUGCUUGGCAGUCGAGGAGUUCCCUGCUCAGGAAAUGGCUGUCAGAGAAUGAGUUAAGGGAAUGUUAACUGUUCAUUACAUUCACUAUCUAGCGAGCUAAGGACCUUGCUCGACUACAGCAGGGUCGUUUAAUAUAGUGGGGCAAAAAAGUAUUUAGUCAACCACCAAUUGUGCAAGAUCUCCCACUUAAAAAGAUGAGACAGGCCUGUAAUUUUCAUCAUAGGUAUACAUCAACUAUGAGAGAGAAAAUGAGAAAAACAAAAUCCAGAAAAUCACAUCUGAUUUUCUGUCUGAUUUUUUAAAUUUAUUUAUUUUAUUUUAUUUAUUUGCAAAUUAUGGCAGAAAAUAAGUAUUUUGUCACCUACAAACUAGCAAGAUUUCUGGCUCUCACAGAGCUGUAACUACUUCUUUAAGAGGCUCCUCUGUCCUCCACUCGUUACCUGUAUUAAUGGCACCUGUUUGAAUUUAUCAGUAUAAAAGACACCUACCCACAAUCUCAAACAGUCACAUUCCAAACUCCACUAUGUCCAAGACCAAAGAGCUGUCAAAGGACACCAAAAACAAAAUUGAAGACCUGCACCAGGCUGGGAAGGCUGAAUCUGCAAUAGGUAAGCAGCUUGAUGUGAAGAAAUCAACUGUGGGAGCAAUUAUUAGAAAAUGGAAGACAUACAAGACCACUGAUAAUCUCCCUCAAUCUGGGGCUCCACGCAAGAUCUCACCCCGGGGUCAAAAUGAUCACAAAAACGGUGAGCAAAAAUCCCAGAACCACACAGGGGGACCUAGUGAAGGACCUGCACAGAGCUGGGACCAAAGUAACAAAGGCUACCAUCAGUAACACACUACACCACCAGGGACUCAAAUCCUGUAGUGCUUGACGUGUCCCCCUGCUUAAGCCAGUACAUGUCCAGGCCCGUCUGAAAGUUUGCUAGAGAGCAUUUGGAUGAUCCAUAAAAGGAUUGGGGGAAUGUCAUAUGGUCAGAUGAAACCAAAAUAGAACUUUUUGGUAAAAACUCAACUUACCGUGUUUGGAGGAGAAAUUGCAUCCAAAGAACACCAUACCUAUUAUGAAGCAUGGGGGUGGAAACAACAUGCUUUGGGGCUGUUUUUCUGCAAAGGGACCAGCACGACUGAAAAGAAUGAAUGGAGUCAAGUAUCGUGAGAUUUUGAGUGAAAACCUCCUUCUAUCAGCAAGGGCAUUGAAGAUGAAACGUGGCUCGGUCUUUCAGCAUGGCAAUGAUUGUAUUGUAUUGAGAUGAACUUUUCUCAUUAAUCAAAUACUUAUUUUCCACCAUCCAUUUUCUUUACCGCUUCUCCUCACUAGGGUUGCGGGCGUGCUGGAGCCUAUCCCAGCUAUCUUCGGGUGUACACCCCAAACUGGUCGCCAGCCAAUCCCAGGGCACAAAGAACCAUUCUCUCACAUUCACACCUACGGGCAAUUUAGAGUCUUCAAUUAACCUACCAUGCAUGUUUUUGGGAUGUGAGAGGAAACCAGAGUACCUGGAGAAAACCCACGCAGGCACGGGGAGAACAUGCAAACGUCACACAGGCGGGGCCGGGAUUUGAACCCCGGUCCUCAAAACUGUGAGGCAGAUGUGCUAACCAGUCGUACACCGUGCCUAUUUUCCACCAUAAUUUGCUAAUAAAUUCUUUCAAAAUCAGACGGUGAUUUUCUGGAUUUUAUUUUUCUAUUUGUUUCUCAUAGGUGAGUUAUACCUAUGUUGAAAAUUUCAGGCCUCUCUCAUCUUUUUAGUGGGAGAACUUGCACAAUUGGUGGCUGACUAAAUACUUUAUUGCCCCACCGUACGUCAGUGCCUCGCUCUGAGUUGUUUUGUGCGGGUCCCCACAUAACGAUUUGUUAACCAUAACCACAUUGGCGCACGUUAUUCAGCCAGUUGUUGACUACAGGCACUUAAGCACACAGCAUACAAGCAAACGUAUUUGAUUGAUCUGUUAACGGCUGUCUCCAUCGCCUUCAGCGAGCAUGCCCACAUAGUUCUGCAGCACGAGGGUGGUCCUUAUUUUUCAUGAUUUCAAAGCCUUAACAAACGUGGUGUUUUUUUUUUUUUUUUUUUUUUAAUUGAUUUGUUGUUUUUUCAUUCAAAUUUGCACUUUGCGGUGUCAAGACAUUUUUUGGGACGUCUUGGGUGGGUUUUUAAUAUUGGUUGACACUAUCUGUGCGGCCAUGUUGCCCCGUGUAUGUAAACGCUUUCAUGUUUUGAUCUUGUAAUAUUCUAUUGAAAAUGUAUUUACAAAUAAUUAAGCUCUCGUUUGUUUGUUUUUAUCUUUU